rnacentral:rRNA from 1 species
AACGAACGCUGGCGGCAGGCCUAACACAUGCAAGUCGAACGCCGUAGCAAUACGGAGUGGCAGACGGGUGAGUAACGCGUGGGAACAUACCCCUCGGUUCGGAAUAACUUAGGGAAACUUGAGCUAAUACCGGAUACGUCCGAGGUUUUAACCGGCCUCGGAGAAAGAUUUAUCGCCGGAGGAUUGGCCCGCGUCUGAUUAGCUUGUUGGUGAGGUAAUGGCUCACCAAGGCGACGAUCAGUAGCUGGUCUGAGAGGAUGAUCAGCCACAUUGGGACUGAGACACGGCCCAAACUCCUACGGGAGGCAGCAGUGGGGAAUAUUGGACAAUGGGCGAAAGCCUGAUCCAGCCAUGCCGCGUGAGUGAUGAAGGCCUUAGGGUUGUAAAGCUCUUUUACCCGGGAAGAUAAUGACGGUACCGGGAGAAUAAGCCCCGGCUAAC